UGAGUACGAGAUGCUACGGCAUCGAAGCAGUCUAUGUCAUACUUCCAAGAAAAGCUUGCACUGUCAGAAACAGAUAAUGCCUGUACCAUAACCGACACAGGUGGGUAGGUAGAGUAUACUAAGGGGCGCGAGAUAACUCUCUCUAAGGAACUCGGCAAAAUGACUCCGUAACUUCGGGAGAAGGAGUGCCUUAUUUUUAAGGUUGCAAUAACAAGAUCCAAGCAACUGUUUACCAAAAACACAGGUCUCCGCUAAGUCGUAAGACGAUGUAUGGGGGCUGACGCCUGCCCAGUGCCAGAAGGUUAAAGAAGACGGUUAGCAUUCGCGAAGCUGGUAACUGAAGCCCUGGUGAACGGCGGCCGUAACUGUAACGGUCCUAAGGUAGCGAAAUUCCUUGUCGGGUAAGUUCCGACCCGCACGAAAGGCGUAAUGAUUUGGAUACUGUCUCGGAGAGGGGCUCGGUGAAAUAGACUUGUCUGUGAAGAUGCGGACUACCUGCACCUGGACAGAAAGACCCUAUGAAGCUUUACUGUAACUUGAAAUUGAAAUUGGACUUUAUUUGCGCAGUAUAGGUGGGAGGCGUUGAAAAUAUUCUUGCGGGAAUAUUGGAGCCAUCAGUGAGAUACCACUCUUGUAAUGUUAGAUUUCUAACUUUAUAUCAUUAUCUGGUUAAAGAACAGUUUCAGGCGGGCAGUUUGACUGGGGCGGUCGCCUCCCAAAUGGUAACGGAGGCGCACAAAGGUUUCCUCUGAACGGGUAGAAAUCGUAUCUAGAGUGUAAAGGCAUAAGGAAGCUUGACUGUGAGACCUACAAGUCGAGCAGGGACGAAAGUCGGUCUUAGUAAUCUGACGGUGCUGAGUGGAAAGGCCGUCACUCAACGGAUAAAAGUUACUCUAAGGAUAACAGGCUGAUCUCCCCCAAGAGUUCACAUCGACGGGGAGGUUUGGCACCUCGAUGUCGGCUCAUCGCAUCCUGGGGCGGUAGUACGUCCCAAGGGUUGGGCUGUUCGCCCAUGAAAGCGGUACGCGAGCUGGGUUCAGAACGUCGUGAGACAGUUCGGUCCAUAUCCGGUGUAGGCGUUAGAAUAUUGAGAGGAGCCUUCUUUAGUACGAGAGGGCCGAGAAGGACAUACCUCUGGUGUACCAGUUAUCGUGCCAACGGUAAACGCUGGGUAGCUAUGUAUGGAGUGGAUAACCGCUGAAAGCAUCUAAGUGGGAAGCCCACCUCAAGAUGAGUAUUCUCAUC
rnacentral:rRNA from 1 species